rnacentral:tRNA from 1 species
GAGGGUGUAGCUCAGUGGUACAGCUCGUGCUUAGCAUGCAUGAGGUCCUAGUUUCAAUCACCAGUACCUCCA